rnacentral:rRNA from 1 species
AGCAGCCGCGGUAAUUCCAACUCCAAUAGCGUAUAUUAAAGUUGUUGCAGUUAAAAAGCUCGUAGUUGAAUUUCGGGGUCAGUAGGUUGGUCAUGCCACUGGUAUGUACUGGUCUCACUGAUUCCUCCUUCCUGAUGGGCCGUAAUGCCAUUAAUUUGGUGUUGCGAGGAAUCUGGACUGUUACUUUGAAAAAAUUAGAGUGUUUAAAGCAGGCUAACGCUUGAAUACAUUAGCAUGGAAUAAUGAAAUAGGACGUUCGAUCUUAUUUUGUUGGUUUCUAAGAUUGACGUAAUGAUUAAUAGGGAUAGUUGGGGGCAUUAGUAUUCAAUUGUCAGAGGUGAAAUUCUUGGAUUUAUUGAAGACUAACUACUGCGAAAGCAUUUGCCAAGGAUGUUUUCAUUAAUCAAGAACGAAAGUUAGGGGAUCGAAGACGAUCAGAUACCGUCGUAGUCUUAACCAUAAACUAUGCCGACUAGGGAUCGGAUGAUGUUAAUUUUUAAUGACUCAUUCGGCGUCCG